rnacentral:lncRNA from 1 species
AGGAAGCCUGGGCCCACAGGCUGACAGAGGGAUGGUGUGCUGCACAGAGGAGGACCUGUGAUGGGGAUUCAAGAAGGGUGCUCAGGGGCCACUGCCUAGCGGAGCCCAGAGGGCCGUGUGCUGCAGUAUUGCCGUGACUGGGGCCAGGUUCUCCCUCCACCCACAUGUCCCUUACCUGAGAGCACGCUCUGGAUGCGGUCAUAAUGCAGGAAGUUGUAUGUGCUGCUGGUGAGGCUAGCCUCGUCUCUGGGCAGUGUCUCCUUCAGGUGGACUUCUAGCCCGUUCAGCGACGCCAGGCUGCUGUGGUACUGCAGAGGGGCCAGGAGUGGGUCACAGGCCGGCACACUUAGUUGAAAGGACUUCCCUAGGUGGAACUGACUGGCUUGGAACUCACUACGAAGACCAGGCUGGUCUAACUGUGCAAAACCUUCUGCCUCUGCCUCCUGACUGCUUGGAUUAUAGGUGUGCACCACCCCGCCCCAGCCCCCUCUCUUCAUGUGUUAUGUGGUGUACAUGCAGCUCAGAGGACAUCAGACCCCUUGACAGACCCCCUGCUGUUACAGGCAGCUGUGAGCUGUGAGCUGUCCACUGCACUCAGGGCCUGGGAACAUCAGCAAGCGCUCUGAACCCCUGAGCCAUCUCUCCAACUCCAGGACUGUCUGCUUUAGCAAUAAUGGUGGCCUGGUGUUCCAGUGUUUCCCAACACCAGCA